UACGGAGGGAGCUAGCGUUAUUCGGAAUUACUGGGCGUAAAGCGAGCGUAGUCGGUUGUCUAAGUCGGAUGUGAAAUCCCCGGGCUCAACCUGGGAAUUGCAUUUGAGACUGCGUAGCUAGGGUGCGGAAGAGGGAAGCGGAAUUUCCGGUGUAGCGGUGAAAUGCGUAGAUAUCGGAAGGAACACCAGUGGCGAAGGCGACUUACUGGACACAUACUGACGCUGAGGUGCGAAAGCGUGGGGAGCAAACAGG
rnacentral:rRNA from 1 species